rnacentral:rRNA from 1 species
GACGAACGCUGGCGGCGUGCUUAACACAUGCAAGUCGAACGAUGAACCCGGAGCUUGCUCCGGUGGAUUAGUGGCGAACGGGUGAGUAACACGUGAGUAACCUGCCCUUGACUCUGGGAUAACUGCGGGAAACUGUAGCUAAUACCGGAUACGACCCUCGGCGGCAUCGCCAGGGGGUGGAAAGAAUUUCGGGCAAGGAUGGACUCGCGGCCUACCAGCUAGUUGGUGAGGUAACGGAUCACCAAGGCGACGACGGGUAGCCGGCCUGCGACGGUGACCGGCCACACUGGGACUGAGACACGGCCCAGACUCCUACGGGAGGCAGCAGUGGGGAAUAUUGCACAAUGGGCGCAAGCCUGAUGCAGCAACGCCGCGUGAGGGAUGACGGCCUUCGGGUUGUAAACCUCUUUUAGUAGGGAAGAAGCGAAAGUGACGGUACCUGCAGAAAAAGCACCGGCUAACUACGUGCCAGCCGCCGCAGUAA